rnacentral:rRNA from 1 species
UGGGGAAUUUUGGACAAUGGGCGAAAGCCUGAUCCAGCAAUGCCGCGUGUGUGAAGAAGGCCUUCGGGUUGUAAAGCACUUUUGUCCGGAAAGAAAUCCUUGGCUCUAAUACAGUCGGGGGAUGACGGUACCGGAAGAAUAAGCACCGGCUAACUACGUGCCAGCAGCCGCGGUAAUACGUAGGGUGCAAGCGUUAAUCGGAAUUACUGGGCGUAAAGCGUGCGCAGGCGGUUUGCUAAGACCGAUGUGAAAUCCCCGGGCUCAACCUGGGAACUGCAUUGGUGACUGGCAGGCUAGAGUAUGGCAGAGGGGGGUAAAAUUCCACGUGUAGCAGUGAAAUGCGUAGAGAUGUGGAGGAAUACCGAUGGCGAAGGCAGCCCCCUGGGCCAAUACUGACGCUCAUGCACGAAAGCGUGGGGAGCAAACAGGAUUAGAUACCCUGGUAGUCCACGCCCUAAACGAUGUCAACUAGUUGUUGGGGAUUCAUUUCCUUAGUAACGUAGCUAACGCGUGAAGUUGACCGCCUGGGGAGUACGGUCGCAAGAUUAAAACUCAAAUGAAUUGACGGGGUCAUAGCU